rnacentral:rRNA from 1 species
UACGUAGGGACCGAGCGUUGUCCGGAAUCAUUGGGCGUAAAGAGCGUGUAGGCGGCCUUUUAAGUCCUGCGUGAAAUCCUGCGGCUCAACCGCAGACGGUCGUGGGAAACUGGAAGGCUAGAGUGCGGGAGAGGAGAGUGGAAUUCCCGGUGUAGCGGUGAAAUGCGCAGAUAUCAGGAAGAACACCCGUGGCGAAGGCGGUUCUCUGGGACGGUACUGACGCUGAGACGCGAAAGCGUGGGGAGCGAACAGG